rnacentral:rRNA from 1 species
CCUGACUGCUAUCGGAUUGAUACUAAGCCAUGCGAGUCAUUGUAGCAAUACAAGGCAUACGGCUCAGUAACGCGUAGUCAACCUARCCUAUGGACGGGAAUAACCUCGGGAAACUGAGAAUAAUGCCCGAUAGAACACUAUACCUGGAAUGGUUUGUGUUCCAAAUGAUUUAUCGCCAUAGGAUGGGACUGCGGCCUAUUAGUUUGUUGGUGAGGUAAUGGCCCACCAAGACUAUUACAGGUACGGGCUCUGAGAGGAGUAGCCCGGAGAUGGGUACUGAGACACGGACCCAGGCCCUAUGGGGCGCAGCAGGCGAGAAAACUUUGCAAUGUGCGAAAGCACGACAAGGUUAAUCCGAGUGAUUUGUGCUAAACGAAUCUUUUGUUAGUCCUAGAAACACUAACGAAUAAGGGGUGGGCAAGUUCUGGUGUCAGCCGCCGCGGUAAAACCAGCACCUCAAGUGGUCAGGAUGAUUAUUGGGCCUAAAGCAUCCGUAGCCGGCUCUGUAAGUUUUCGGUUAAAUCUGUACGCUUAACGUACAGGCUGCCGGGAAUACUGCAGAGCUAGGGAGUGGGAGAGGUAGACGGUACUCGGUAGGAAGUGGUAAAAUGCUUUGAUCUAUCGAUGACCACCUGUGGCAAAGGCGGUCUACCAGAACACGUCCGACGGUGAGGGAUGAAAGCUGGGGGAGCAAACCGGAUUAGAUACCCGGGUAGUCCCAGCUGUAAACUAUGCAAACUCAGUGAUGCAUUGGCUUGUGGCCAAUGCAGUGCUGCAGGGAAGCCGUUAAGUUUGCCGCCUGGGAAGUACGUACGCAAGUAUGAAACUUAAAGGAAUUGGCGGGGGAGCACCACAAGGGGUGAAGCCUGCGGUUC